rnacentral:rRNA from 1 species
GACGAACGCUGGCGGCGUGCUUAACACAUGCAAGUCGAACGGAAAGGCCCUGCUUUUGUGGGGUGCUCGAGUGGCGAACGGGUGCGUAACACGUGAGUAACCUGCCCUUGACUUUGGGAUAACUCCAGGAAACUGGGGCUAAUACCGGAUAGGAGCUCCUGCUGCAUGGUGGGGGUUGGAAAGUUUCGGCGGUUGGGGAUGGACUCGCGGCUUAUCAGCUUGUUGGUGGGGUAGUGGCUUACCAAGGCUUUGACGGGUAGCCGGCCUGAGAGGGUGACCGGCCACAUUGGGACUGAGAUACGGCCCAGACUCCUACGGGAGGCAGCAGUGGGGAAUAUUGCACAAUGGGCGGAAGCCUGAUGCAGCAACGCCGCGUGCGGGAUGACGGCCUUCGGGUUGUAAACCGCUUUCGCCUGUGACGAAGCGUGAGUGACGGUAAUGGGUAAAGAAGCACCGGCUAACUACGUG